UACAGAGGGUGCGAGCGUUAAUCGGAAUUACUGGGCGUAAAGCGUGCGCAGACGGUCACGUAAGUCGGGUGUGAAAGCCCCGGGCUCAACCUGGGAAUUGCAUUCGAGACUGCGUGGCUAGGGUGCGGAAGAGGGAAGCGGAAUUUCCGGUGUAGCGGUGGAAAUGCGUAGAUAUCGGGAGGAACACCAGUGGCGAAAGCGGCUUCCUGGUCCAGCACCGACGUCAGGCACCGAAAGCGUGGGGAG
rnacentral:rRNA from 1 species